GCCCUUAGAGUUUGAUCCUGGCUCAAGAUGAACGCUGGCGGCGUGCCUAACACAUGCAAGUCGAGCGAAGCGCUAUACUUGAUUUCUUCGGAAGGAAAGUAUUGUGACUGAGCGGCGGACGGGUGAGUAACGCGUGGGUAACCUGCCUCAUACAGGGGGAUAACAGUUAGAAAUGACUGCUAAUACCGCAUAAGACCACAGCACCGCAUGGUGCGGGGGUAAAAACUCCGGUGGUAUGAGAUGGACCCGCGUCUGAUUAGCUAGUUGGUAAGGUAAGGGCUUACCAAGGCGACGAUCAGUAGCCGACCUGAGAGGGUGACCGGCCACAUUGGGACUGAGACACGGCCCAAACUCCUACGGGAGGCAGCAGUGGGGAAUAUUGCACAAUGGGGGAAACCCUGAUGCAGCGACGCCGCGUGAGUGAUGAAGUAUUUCGGUAUGUAAAGCUCUAUCAGCAGGGAAGAAAAUGACGGUACCUGACUAAGAAGCACCGGCUAAAUACGUGCCAGCAGCCGCGGUAAUACGUAUGGUGCAAGCGUUAUCCGGAUUUACUGGGUGUAAAGGGAGCGUAGACGGAGAGGCAAGUCUGAUGUGAAAACCCGGGGCUCAACCCCGGGACUGCAUUGGAAACUGUUUUUCUAGAGUGUCGGAGAGGCAAGUGGAAUUCCUAGUGUAGCGGUGAAAUGCGUAGAUAUUAGGAGGAACACCAGUGGCGAAGGCGGCUUGCUGGACGAUGACUGACGUUGAGGCUCGAAAGCGUGGGGAGCAAACAGGAUUAGAUACCCUGGUAGUCCACGCCGUAAA
rnacentral:rRNA from 1 species